UUGCAUAUCAAAUAAGCGGAGGAAAAGAAACCAACAGGGAUUGCCUUAGUAGCGGCGAGUGAAGCGGCAAUAGCUCAAAUUUGAAAUCUGGCACUUUCAGUGUCCGAGUUGUAAUUUGAAGAAGGUAUCUUUGGGUCUAGCUCUUGUCUAUGUUUCUUGGAACAGAACGUCACAGAGGGUGAGAAUCCCGUGCGAUGAGAUGUCUAGAUCUAUGUAAAGUUCCUUCSAAGAGUCGAGUUGUUUGGGAAUGCAGCUCUAAGUGGGUGGUAAAUUCCAUCUAAAGCUAAAUAUUGGCGAGAGACCGAUAGCGAACAAGUACAGUGAUGGAAAGAUGAAAAGAACUUUGAAAAGAGAGUGAAAAAGUACGUGAAAUUGUUGAAAGGGAAGGGCUUGAGAUCAGACUUGGUAUUUUGUAUGUUACUCUCUCGGGGGUGGCCUCUACAGUUUACCGGGCCAGCAUCAGUUUGAGCGGUAGGAGAAUUGCGUAGGAAUGUGGCUCGGCCUCGGUCGAGUGUUAUAGCCUUCGUCGAUACUGCCAGCUUAGACUGAGGACUGCGGCUUCGGCCUAGGAUGUUGGCAUAAUGAUCUUAAGUCGCCCGUCUUGAAACACGGACCA
rnacentral:rRNA from 1 species